rnacentral:miRNA from 1 species
AGGCGUGGUGGCGGGCGCCUGUGAUCCCAGCUACUCAGGAGGCUGAGACAGGAGAAUCGCUUGAACCUGGGAGGCGGAGGUUGCAGUGAGC